GUACGGGGGGGGCAAGCGUUGUUCGGAAUUACUGGGCGUAAAGGGCGCGUAGGCGGCCUUCUAAGUCAGACGUGAAAUCCCUCGGCUUAACCGGGGAACUGCGUCUGAUACUGGAUGGCUUGAAUCCGGGAGAGGGAUGCGGAAUUCCAGGUGUAGCGGUGAAAUGCGUAGAUAUCUGGAGGAACACCGGUGGCGAAGGCGGCAUCCUGGACCGGCAUUGACGCUGAGGAGCGAAAGCCAGGGGAGCAAACGGG
rnacentral:rRNA from 1 species